rnacentral:rRNA from 1 species
GGCCAGGUCACCCUGAACAAGCCCGAUGGGUGAUCUCAGAAGCUAAGCAGGGUUGGGGCUGGUUAGUACUUGGAUGGGAGACCACCUAGGAAGACCAGAUGCU